GGGGUCGUAGCGAAGCCAGGCAUCGCAACGGGCUCCAGAUCUAACAUACGAGGGCUAGGUUAGAAAAGAAACCCGUGGGUCAAGGGUUCAAUUGAUAGCGGUUAGCCACCGCGUCAGAACAGAUCCCUUCGGCCCCA
rnacentral:tRNA from 1 species